UACGUAGGUCCCGAGCGUUGUCCAGAUUUAUUGGGCGUAAAGCGAGCGCAGGUGGUUUAUUAAGUCUGGUGUAAAAGGCAGUGGCUCAACCAUUGUGUGCAUUGGAAACUGGUAGACUUAAGUGCAGGAGAGGAGAGUGGAAUUCCAUGUGUAGCGGUGAAAUGCGUAGAUAUAUGGAGGAACACCGGUGGCGAAAGCGGCUCUCUGGCCUGUAACUGACACUGAGGCUCGGAAGCGUGGGGAGCAAACAGG
rnacentral:rRNA from 1 species